UACGGGGGGGGCAAGCGUUGUUCGGAAUUACUGGGCGUAAAGCGAGUGUAGGCGGUCUGCUAAGUCGGGUGUGAAAGCCCCGGGCUCAACCCGGGAAGUGCACUCGAAACUGGCAGGCUAGAGUACUGGAGAGGUUGGUGGAAUUCUCGGUGUAGAGGUGAAAUUCGUAGAUAUCGAGAGGAACACCGGUGGCGAAGGCGGCCAACUGGACAGAUACUGACGCUGAGACUCGAAAGCGUGGGGAGCAAACAGG
rnacentral:rRNA from 1 species